UACGUAGGGUGCGAGCGUUGUCCGGAUUUAUUGGGCGUAAAGAGCGUGUAGGCGGCCAGGUAGGUCCGGUGUGAAAACUCGAGGCUUAACCUCGAGAUGUCAUCGGAAACCAUCUGGCUAGAGUCCGGAAGAGGAAAGUGGAAUUCCUGGUGUAGCGGUGAAAUGCGCAGAUAUCAGGAAGAACACCAAUGGCGAAAGCAGCUUUCUGGGACGGUACUGACGCUGAGACGCGAAAGCGUGGGGAGCGAACAGG
rnacentral:rRNA from 1 species